UACAGAGGGUGCAAGCGUUAAUCGGAAUUACUGGGCGUAAAGCGCACGCAGGCGGAUAGGUAAGUUGGAUGUGAAAGCCCCGGGCUCAACCUGGGAAUGGCAUUCAAAACUGCUUAUCUAGAGUGCAGUAGAGGAGAGUGGAAUUUCCGGUGUAGCGGUGAAAUGCGUAGAUAUCGGAAGGAACAUCAGUGGCGAAGGCGACUCUCUGGACUGACACUGACGCUCAUGUGCGAAAGCGUGGGGAGCAAAC
rnacentral:rRNA from 1 species